UUGAAAAGUUGGGAGAUGAGAUAGGUUUAGGGGUGAAACGCCAAUCGAACUGAGAGAUAGCUCGUUCUCUCCGAAAUGCAUUUAGGUGCAGCCUUAAGAAUUAAAUUGCGGGGGUAGAGCACUGAAUGGUCUAGGGGGCAUAUUGCUUACCGAAGCCAACCAAACUCCGAAUACCGUAAUUUUUAAUCUUAGGAGUGAGACUAUGGGUACUAAGAUCCAUGGUCAAAAGGGAAACAACCCAGACCGUCAGCUAAGGUCCCUAAUUAUAGCUAAGUGGGAAAGGAGGUGGAGAUUCCCAAACAACCAGGAGGUUGGCUUAGAAGCAGCCAUUCCUUUAAAGAGUGCGUAAUAGCUCACUGGUCGAGAGUCUCUGCGCCGACAAUGUAACGGGGCUAAGCUAUAAACCGAAGCUACGGAAUCGCGUAAGCGAUUGGUAGGAGAGCGUUCUGUAGGCUGUUGAAGGAGAACUGAUAAGGAACUCUGGAGGUAUCAGAAGUGAGAAUGCAGGAAUAAGUAGCGAGAAAGAGGGUGAGAAUCCUUCUCGCCGGAAGACCAAGGUUUCCAGGGUAAAGCUUGUCUUCCCUGGGUAAGCCGGGACCUAAGCCCAGGCUAUAAUGCGUAGGCGAAUGGAAAACAGAUUAAUAUUUCUGUGCCACUGAUAAAUUGUGAAGGAGGGACGCAGAAGGGUAUGUAAGCAGGAGAACGGAAGUUCCUGUGUAAGCAUGUAGUAUGACUUAGUAGGCAAAUCCGCUAGGUUAGAUAUGAGGUGUGAUGCAUAGCUCGUAAGAGCGAAUUUACAGAUCCCACGCUGCCAAGAAAAGCUUCUAGCGUUAAUUUAUUAGUGCCCGUACUGUAAACCAACACAGGUGGUCAGAAUGAGAAAUUUAAGGCGGACAGGCUAACUCUCGCUAAGGAACUCUGCAAAAUGAAUCCGUAACUUCGGGAGAAGGAUUGCCCUUUUGUGUGGAGUGCUACGCGCACAAAGCAUGAGAGGGUCGCAGUGAAGAGGCUCAGGCAACUGUUUAACAAAAACACAGGUCUAUGCUAAGCUGAAAGGCGAUGUAUAUGGGCUGACACCUGCCCAGUGCCGGAAGGUUAAGAGGAGGAGUGAGAGCUCCGAAUUGAAGCCCCGGUGAACGGCGGCCGUAACUAUAACGGUCCUAAGGUAGCGAAAUUCCUUGUCGGGUAAGUUCCGACCUGCACGAAAGGUGUAAUGAUCUGAGCGCUGUCUUGGCGGGAGGCCUGGUGAAAUUGUAUUACCGGUGAAGAUACCGGUUACCUGCAGUAGGACGGAAAGACCCCAUGGAGCUUUACUGUAGCUUGGUAUUGGGUUUCGGUGUCAUAUGUAUAGGAUAGUUGGGAGGCUACGAAGUAUGUCCGUCAGGAUAUAUGGAGCCGCUGGUGGAAUACCAACCAUAUUACACUGGAAUUCUAAUUUGAGGUUUGUAGUCUUGAAGACAGUGCUAGGUGGGCAGUUUGACUGGGGCGGUCGCCUCCGAAAGAGUAACGGAGGCGCCCAAAGGUUCCCUCAGGUUGGAUGGAAAUCAACCGCAGAGUGUAAUGGCAGAAGGGAGCUUAACUGCGAGACUGACGGGUCGAGCAGGUGCGAAAGCAGGGCAUAGUGAUCCGGCGAUUCCGAAUGGAAGGGUCGUCGCUCAACGGAUAAAAGCUACCCUGGGGAUAACAGGCUGAUUUUGCCCGAGAGUCCAUAUCGACGGCAAAGUUUGGCACCUCGAUGUCGGCUCAUCUCAUCCUGGGGCUGGAGAAGGUCCCAAGGGUUGGGCUGUUCGCCCAUUAAAGAGGUACGUGAGCUGGGUUCAGAACGUCGUGAGACAGUUCGGUCCCUAUCCACUGCAGGCGUAAGAGUAUUGAAAAGAUCUGUCCUUAGUACGAGAGGACCGGGAUGGACAAACCUCUGAUGUACCAGUUGUCACGCCAGUGGCACAGCUGGGUAGUCACGUUUGGACUAGAUAACCGCUGAAAGCAUCUAAGCGGGAAACUGACUUUGA
rnacentral:rRNA from 1 species